UAAGUGGAGCCCACAGAGGGGUUCAAAGCAGGGCGGUGGGUCAGGACUGAGAUCGGUUUGGGUUUUUGAGUGAGCUUUGGGGAUGGGGAGGUUCUGGAAAUGACCCCAUAGGCCCCAGUGAGGGAAAGCCUCACUUUGGUUUGCAAUGCUGAGGCAGGCAGGGCAGAGCAGUCCCAGGGUGUGUUGUCACUUGUCUCUCGUGCCUUCUGUGUCUUAUGUGCAUCUUGUGUAACAUCUCUAUUGCCUUAGUCCUCCCAGGGGCUUAUGAGAAACCCUGGGGUCCUUCCGUUCAUCUCCCAUCUUUGCGUUCCUCGGCCCGGCGCCGGCGAAGCUUCGAUGCGGGAGGUCGGACAGGCGUCAGAAUUGCAUCUGUCUUUAGAAGCAUGUGAUCAGAUGUUUUCUUAGGUCUCGUUCUCAGCUGUGUCAACAGCUAUAUGCAGCAGUGUUUCUUUACAGUGGAUAAGGACUUGUGCCGAUUCAAAGGCAGGCAGAGGCUUCUAGCCACAGGAUUCUCGGGCAUCCGUCUUUGCGGUUCUUGGAAAAUAGUUGUUCCAUUAGCAUCUUUUUCCUCCGGGGUCACUGGAGCUCGGCAGGCUCGCCUCGGGUCCCUCCUCGGUCAUCUCGUUCAGCAUUCUCUCGGUCCUCAUGAGGACUUUCUUGUCUCAGAGAGUUUUCUCUCCUUGUCAUGUCCCCUUGUCUCACGUGUCAUGGGUGUCUGGUGGUAUUUGGUCCGGAGCUGCUCUGCCCUGGCGCCCAGCCCGGUUGUAGGUGUUUAAGGACAAGUCCCGGGCACUUGUAAUUGGAGAUUUGUAAUAUGGGCUGUAGUUGGAGUCUAGCUGGUAUUCUUAUGUUGGCAGCAGGUGUCUGGAGCUGUGAAGUUACCCUGCAGCACUUUGACUUUUUUCCUAACUUUCUUUCAGAUUCAGACAGAUUGACCUCCUGGCAGAACACCUGUCCCAGAUGAGGGGGUCCCCCUGAGAAGGAAGUAAAGCCGGAUAGCAGCGGGGAAGGCGAAGCAGGUGGAAGGUGGUCUACUUGCAAGAUAUCCCAGCCCAGGAUGCUGGAGGACAGGUGGGUGCAAGCUCUGUGUGUGUUUUGGUGUUUAAGUCCCUGGUUUGCUGCUAAUCUUUAGUUCUUGAAGGUAGAAUGAAAGAACCACAUCACAAAUCCCACCUUGUGGAUCCUGACACACAUUGGUGUCACGGACAGGAUUCUGAGAGACAGAAGGGGUUGCAGGUUUAUCGUGCAGUCAUUAUCAGGGGAAAGACGUUUCGCCUCAGCCGCCCCUAGCCUGCCACGCUGGUGAGCAGUGUCUAGAAAGCAAGGGAGGUGACUCGAAUUUGUUAAAAACAGCACAUGCCUCAGGGCAAAGCACCCCACACUCAUUUGAGGGCUCUGUCUUCAGAACUUUACAGGGGAUCUUUGAGUAUGAUAAGUGGGACUGAGUGGUUUUUCUGUUUAAAGUCCCUGGUUUGCUGCUAAUCUCUAGUUCUCUAAGACAGAAGGAAAGAACCACAUCACAAAUCCCACCUUGUGGAUCCUGACACGAAUCAGUGUCACGGACAGGAUUCUGAGAGACAGAAGGGGUUGCAGGUUUAUCGUGCAGUCAUUAUCAGGGGAAAGACGUUUCGCCUCAGCCGCCCCUAGCCUGCCACGUCGGUGAGCAGUGUCUAGAAAGCAAGGGAGGUGACUCGAAUUUGUUAAAAACAGCACAUGCCUCAGGGCAAAGCACCCCACACUCGUUUGAGGGCUCUGUCUUCAGAACUUUACAGGGGAUCUUUGAGUACGAGAGGUGGGACUGAGUGGUUUUUCUUCUGUUUCAGUCCCUGGU